AGGCCGGACGCAGUGGCUCACGCCUGUAAUCCCAGCACUUUGGGAGGCCGAGGUGGGCGGAUCACAAGGUCAGGAGAUUGAGACCAACCUGGCUAACACGGUGAAACCCCGUCUCUACUAAAAAUACAAAAAAUUUGCCGGGCGUGGUGGCGUGCGCCUGUAGUUCCAGCUACCCGGGAGGCUGAGGCAGGAGAAUGGCCUGAACCCGGGAGGCGGAGCUUGCAGUGAGGGGAG
rnacentral:lncRNA from 1 species